UCUCUCUCUCUCUCUCUCUCUCUCUCUCUCUCUCUGUGUGUGUGUGUGUGUGUGUGUGUGAGAGAGAGAGAGAGAGAGGGAGAGAGAGAGAGAGAGA
rnacentral:miRNA from 1 species